rnacentral:rRNA from 1 species
GAGAUUUCCCAACUUCGGUUAUAAGAUCCCUCGAAGAUGACGAGGUUAAUAGGUUCGAGGUGGAAGCGUGGUGACACGUGGAGCUGACGAAUACUAAUCGAUCGAAGACUUAAUCAA